AAAUGUCAAUUGACUCCUCUCACUCAUAGUUGUACAAAUUACAGGGCUUUUUUUUAAUUGUCAUAAAACAUAUACAUUAUUCAUCUAUUCAGUUUCAUCUGAAGAGAAUCCAACAAAGAAGAAAUUUUAUUUUCCAAUAAAAUAUUAAAGCUGCUUUACCCCACAAGAGACAGAGCAGAAAUUCCAUCCAUGAUCUAUAAAUCUAUGCGAAAACAAUACACAGUUCUGGCCAAAAGAAGUUAAAACAAAUGUGAAAAAUAAGCGACAUCCAGAAACUUCAGCAGCUCCCUUCUGUCCUAUGCCUCAAGGUACCAGAGAGGGAAAAAGACCCCCAGGAGAGGCUGUGAGGAAACCUGAACUGCAAACCCACCACGAUGUCUUCCUGGGAAAGGCAAGUUGGUAAAGAAAGAUGUGAACUCUAUUUCAGGGUAGUAUGUUUUUUUCAUUUGCUUCCAAGACUUUGAUGGAAUGACUUGAGAGGAAAAGUUCACAAUUACUAGAAAGAACCUAAAAGGACAUGAGAGAUGAAACCGUUGCAGUAUUUUUGAAAUAAAUGUUUUCCUGCAAGAGCAGAGUCA
rnacentral:lncRNA from 10 species